UCCUGGCUUAGGAUGAACGCUAGCUACAGGCUUAACACAUGCAAGUCGAGGGGCAGCAUAACGAAAGCUUGCUUUGUUGAUGGCGACCGGCGCACGGGUGAGUAACGCGUAUCCAACCUUCCCUAUACUAGAGAAUAGCCCGGCGAAAGUCGGAUUAAUGCUCUAUGUUCUUCUUUGAUGGCAUCUGACGAGAAGCAAAGGUUUACCGGUAUAGGAUGGGGAUGCGUCUGAUUAGGUUGUUGGCGGGGUAACGGCCCACCAAGCCUACGAUCAGUAGGGGUUCUGAGAGGAAGGUCCCCCACAUUGGUACUGAGACACGGACCAAACUCCUACGGGAGGCAGCAGUGAGGAAUAUUGGUCAAUGGGCGAGAGCCUGAACCAGCCAAGUAGCGUGCAAGGAUGACUGCCCUAUGGGUUGUAAACUGCUUUUAUGCGGGAAUAAAGUCAGGUACGUGUACCUGUUUGUAUGUACCGCAUGAAUAAGGACCGGCUAAUUCCGUGCCAGCCGCUGC
rnacentral:rRNA from 1 species